UACGAGGGGGGCAAGCGUUGUUCGGAAUUAUUGGGCGUAAAGGGUGCGUAGGCGGUGCGGUAAGUCUGUUGUGAAAUCUCCGGGCUCAACUCGGAGUCUGCAUCAGAAACUGCCGUGCUGGAGUGUGGGAGAGGUGAGUGGAAUUCCCGGUGUAGCGGUGAAAUGCGUAGAGAUCGGGGGGAACACCAGUGGCGAAGGCGGCCUUCUGGACCAGCACUGACACUCAAGCACGAAAGCGUGGGGAGCAAACAGG
rnacentral:rRNA from 1 species